GUCGGCUCGAAUGCGAUUGACUUGCAACCGGGCUGAACAUCCCCACCACUUUACAUAAUUCGCUCGGGGAGACAAACAGCGGUGCGGUGUGGCAUUCGCAGGUCGAAGAUCGCGUCGUUAAGACGUAUCAACUCGCGGCAGGUUAUUGGCGUCAGUUAAGAAGACAUAUUGGCGCCAAGAAACAGGAAUUCCAAUAUGGACGCCAUAACGGUCAAUGUUUAAUUUAAUGCUUUUUCAUGGAGGUGGAUAAGUUUAUAUUGCCCUUUCAUUGAAUCAUUGAGAAUGUUCGUGACCACGUGCAAUGCGGUUGAUAGAGUCAGUGUUUGCAACGUAAUAGUUUUUUUUAAUAUUCUUUAGAGCACAAUAGCUCUUAUUAAAUUUAGUUGCAAUAGUCAUACGCGAAAUUAGAUUCAGUGUUUGUUCGGCGUUUUAUCUAAACGAGCGCGUUAAUAGUACUUUAUUUUUCUUUUUUUAUUUAUGCUCUUUUCCAAGUACUAUUCGUUUUUGGCAUUAGAAUCAAUGCUCAAGAGGAUAAAGCCUUUCCAGGAGUUUAAGAGUAUCUGUCCCACUGUCUACCACUUGCCAGUUCUUUGAGAGGAUCUAAUGAUGCUUCAAAAGCCAAGUAUAUUUUUCACACCCUCCGCUUCUCCCAUGGACUUCGAUGGUUCUUCCUUGAUGAUGUCUUCUAGACUAUUGCAGCAGUGCUGACAACGUCCUACGCAUCUAAUUAAACCGAUCAUGGAAUCAACGGAAGAAGACUCGGAUCUCCUAUAUCCCUUUCCCUCGCUAUAUUAUAUUCAGACUGUUAGAUAGAUAAAAUCCAUAAAAAAAUUAUUACAUCUCUAUAUACGUACAUAUAUAGAGUCUGAAUAAAACUUUUAGACAUGUAAUACGUAGCGACUCUACGAAAUCUCUAGUUGAUUAGUUAUAGGAUUAGUAAGGCGAGAAACAUGUUUCAAAAUUCGUGAAAAAUAUUCAAUACUUUGAAAGAUACGUUUGUUCCAUGCAAUAUCUCUUCCCCGUCCCUUAUUGUAGUCAGAUGUUUAUAGGAUUUAUCGAAAUCAUUAAAUUGACGAUAGAUAGGAUAGUUUAGGUUUAUAAUUAGGAGUAAAAUGUCUUUAUUCUAAUUAUGUAAUCAGGUGAAGUGAUCGUGAAUUUUGUUUCUUGGUAAUUAGUUACAUGGAUGCUUGGUUUAUGCAGUUGGUGUAGUAGAAAAGGUAGUUGGCGUCCAUUUAAGUUUAAUAAAUGUAACUCUUUGUGAGACGUAUUUAAUUUUAUUUUUGUCUUUUUUCUUGAUGUUCUUUUUAACUCUCGAUUAUUCUACACCUUUCUUUGCAAUGAAAGUAAGAUAUGAAAGUAAAACUUUUGAUAUAUUAUAAACCAGCGUCUCACAUAGUGUUAUAUCAUUAGUUUAAAAUUUAAUUUAAUUCUCUAUUUUUAUGAUUAAUUCCCAACUUUUACAUUCAGGAUUAGUCUUUCGCGUCGGUCUUCCUUAAAGCUUUCUUUUGUAAAACUUUUUCUUUUGUAAAACGAUCAAAGAGAUGCGACAUUUUGCAAAUUUACACUGAAAAGGCAAUUCGUUUAUAAAUUGACGUUUUAAAUAAAUUUUUGUUCGUAAAAGGAUAGGAUGUGGUUAGGUGUGGUCUUCGCACACAGCAACCUCCACGCGGUGAGACCUCGGCAAUAUUAUUUGAUAUAAAAUUACUAACUGUAUCAUUAUAUGAUACGAUUAUUAUUUAUAUUGGAAAUAAUAUGAGUUAAUUGGCUACGUUCGCGAUUAUAUUUUUAUAGAACUUAGAAGAUUUAUGUGGCUUGUUAGGUCUCAUUAAUUCCCAAGUAGACCUAGUGGAAACUUGAUGCAUUUUUUGCUUGUCCGUAAUAAAGUUAAUGCUUCUUUUUCAUUAAAUGGUUUUAUUCUUCAAAAUAAUUCACAACCUCUACAUUACAACUUGCUUUUCACUCUCGUAGCAAUCGUAGCUAUUAAAUUUGCCAUCAUUAAGACCGUGUUAAAUCUGAUGGAGCAAGACCUCGAGACUAAUGUAAAUAGAUCCCGACAUAACAGAGAAAAGUAUCCGCCGAUGUUAAAAUUAAGUACGAACUAGCUCGUUUGACAAAAGCGAAUAAAACGACAAGAAGUAAAAAAAAAAGGAAUCUCUUGGCGCGCCACAAUCUCGUCUUUUAAUCGAAGGAAACGAGCCGUGAAUAAUCGAUCGGGUUCACGUGAUCUGGAGAAAAGCGGCACAAGUAAUUUUCA